AGCAAUACGGAGUGGCAGACGGGUGAGUAACGCGUGGGAACAUGCCCUUCAGUUCGGAAUAACUUGAGGAAACUUGAGCUAAUACCGGAUACGCCCUUACGGGGAAAGAUUCAUCGCCGAAGGAUUGGCCCGCGCCCGAUUAGCUAGUUGGUGAGGUAAUGGCUCACCAAGGCGACGAUCGGUAGCUGGUCUGAGAGGAUGAUCAGCCACAUUGGGACUGAGACACGGCCCAAACUCCUACGGGAGGCAGCAGUGGGGAAUAUUGGACAAUGGGCGCAAGCCUGAUCCAGCCAUGCCGCGUGAGUGAUGAAGGCCUUAGGGUUGUAAAGCUCUUUUACCCGGGAAGAUAAUGACUGUACCGGGAGAAUAAGCCCCGGCUAACUUCGUGCCAGCAGCCGCGGUAAUACGAAGGGGGCUAGCGUUGUUCGGAUUUACUGGGCGUAAAGCGCACGUAGGCGGAUUCUUAAGUCAGGGGUGAAAUCCCGAGGCUCAACCUCGGAACUGCCUUUGAUACUGGGAAUCUUGAGUUCGGGAGAGGUGAGUGGAACUGCGAGUGUAGAGGUGAAAUUCGUAGAUAUUCGCAAGAACACCAGUGGCGAAGGCGGCUCACUGGCCCGAUACUGACGCUGAGGUGCGAAAGCGUGGGGAGCAAACAGGAUUAGAUACCCUGGUAGUCCACGCCGUAAACUAUGGAUGCCAGCCGUUAGGCAGCUUGCUGUUUAGUGGCGCAGCU
rnacentral:rRNA from 1 species